rnacentral:SRP_RNA from 1 species
UAUGGUCAAAGUGAUAUGAGGCCAUGAGACUAUUUAAUUGUGCUGAUCUGGUAUGUACAGAAGAGUCCAAGGAUGCAAUACUGCUAUGACGAUCGGGUGUCCUUGUGAAGGACAGCAUCAACAUAAUGUAUCUUGGGGAGCCCUCAGGCCCAAAGUUGCCUAAGGAAGGGUGAACUGACCUAGGCUGAAACAGAGUAGGUCAAAACCCUGUGUUUGCCAGCUGUGGGACUGCACCUAUGAGUAGCUACUGUAGAGGAGCCUGGAACAAAGAGAAAGGCCCAGACU